GACCUCAAAAUUCUGUGGUCACUUUUUGCAGGGGGAGGGGGCGUCCAGCUUGCCCGUCCCUUGAGGGUCAAACACAGUGGGCAAAAGUGGCGGCUCCAAACGCCACAGCAGAAUGAAGGCGGUUCAAGGACCUCCAGGCACUGAGCCCAACGGUGGGCAGAAUGCUGAGUGCGUCUCCCUCUCCCCCGCCCCAGGGCUGCUGACCUUCCCAGGGUGACCUUUCUGACCUUCAGGAUUCCUUUCUCCUCAAGCGUCUUUCUGUCCUGCUUCUGUCCAGAGGAAGGAGAUGGGUGGCUAAGGGUUGAACUCUGUUUCCCCAAAUCGGAGUCCGACGUAACCCCCAGAACCUCAGAAUGGGAGCUGGUUGGGAAAUGAGGUCUUGAUGGAGGUCACUGGGCGGAGGUGCUAAUCCAGUGUGACCAGUGUCCCAAUAAAAGGGGGACAUUGGGACAGAGGGACAGACACCGAGGGACGAGGAUGUGGAGUGAUGCAGGGAGAAGAUGGCCAUCUGCAGGCCAAGGAGAGAGCCUGGAACAGUUCGUUCCUCCAGCCUCAGAAGGAACCAACCCUGCCCACACCUUAAUUUUAGACUUCCAGCCUCCAGGACUCUGAGAUGAUACACUCCUGCUGUCGAAGCCACUUAGUUCCCAGUACCUUGUUACAACAGCCCCCACAAACUCAAAGCCACACGAAAGUAACCUACAUCCUGGCACAAAUCCCAUUACAACAAUUCCAGGGGCAUUUUGGAUUUCCAAGAGAAGGAAAAAGUCACAGAAACUUUAUCGUAGAGGAUGGCACUCAGGCCACUUGGCAGUUUGGAGGGGUAGAGGAUGGGGGGCAGCAGAUCUCGGCACCCCCCCACCUUGCUCCACUCCUGCCAUCCCCCCGGGGUGCCAGUCCCCACAGCCUCCCCCAGCUCAGCCCCACCAGGCAUAUUUUCCUCCACAUUCUUCGGCCAGAGACCUUGGCGUGUGUUUAGCUGCUCCGUCUUGGUAUCCAGGAAACUGGGCAAUGCUCGCACCUGCCCCACCCCCCAAGAAAGCAGGGCUCCCUAGAGCUGGGACUUCUAGAAACACAAUGUUCCCGGUAAAAAGGUUUUAAAAAAAAAGGUAAAAAGAUUCCCUGGGGUCAUGUUCUCCUUAGCAGCUAAUGCGCUGUGCCCAGGCUUCAUUCUACCUCGAAUUUCUCGGCCUGGGUGUCCGAUGUAGGGCCUCUGGGGAGACCUGCACCUUUUUUUUUUUUUUUUUUUUUUUUUUGAAAGCGGCGCAUUUAAAGGGAGGGGAGGGGAUGCAUAAGUCAUUCGGAACAUCUUUGCUGUGUCCUUACUGUGCCCUCUCCCAGAUAAGCCUAAUUCAUCUAUUUGGCACUAAUUUAUUGAGCAUCUGCCCUGGGCCAGGAGAGGCUGGGGAGACAGUCAUGAAUAAGACUGACACUCCUCAUUUAAGAAGUCCCCGUUUGGAGGCGAAAGCCGCAGUGAACCCCUAUUUUGGGGUCUGAUGAUGGUUCUGAAAGGGCAAGGGUCGGCUCCACACCUCCUGCUGUUAACCUGUUAUCUGUGGUUCUUUAGAUAUCUUUUCCCAUCAAUCUUACAUUAUAAAUACACUGAGCACACAGGGAUUCUGCUGACAUAACGCCUCCCAGAAGCUUUUCUGCUCUAGGUGCCAAGAAGGCAGUUUUUAUCAGACAUUAGCAUGCAUGGUAAUCAGGUGGGGAGGUGUGAAAAUGCAGAUUCCCUGGCCUGGCCCUUAGAGUUGUGAAUGAGCGAGCCAGGGGGAAGGUUCAAAAUACCCAUUUUGAACACGCGUGUCCGGUGUGCGCUGCUCUUGAGAACGCUCUCCUAGGAUCAGAGGCCUCUUGCUGUUUUUCCCUGGAUGUCCACAAAAUAAAACGGGAAGCAGAAAAUCACGAAAAACGGAAAAUGGCCAAUGGCAGGAAGAAAGGAUUCUUUGGGUGGCCUUUUUAGGACUUUAUUUUUUUAGAGAAAUUUUAGGUUCACAGCAACAUGGAGAGGAAAGAUCAGAGAUUUCCUAUAGCCCCUCACCCCUGCGUACCACCCCCCACCCCCGGCACAGGUUCCUGGCAAUAUUUCCCACAUUUGUUAAAAUUGAUGAACCUCCGUUGAUGCAUUCUUAUCACCCAAGGUCAUAAUUUACAACAGGCCUCACUCCGGGUCGUGUACAUUCUAUGAGUUUGGGCAAAUACGUAAUGACAGGUGUCUGCCAUUAUUGUGUCACCCAGAAGCGUUUCACUGCCCGGAAACGCUUCUGGGCUCUGGCUAUUCAUCUUCUCUUCCCCUCAACUCCUGGCCAAUCACUGAUCCUUUUGUUGUCUCCAUCGCUCUGCCUUUUCCAGAAGGUCAUGUAGUUGCAACAGUACAGUGCAGCUUCUUUAGAUUGGCUUUUUUCAUUUGGUAACAUGCAUUUAAGAUUCUUCCAUGUCUUUUCAUGGCUUGACAGCUCAUUUCUUCAUAGCGCUGAGGAGUAUUUCAUUGUCUGGAUGGAUCACAGGUCAUUUCUGCUCCAUGGACCCCUUCCUCUUUCGAUAAAAAGUAGUGAAAAAUUCAUGAGCUUCUGGCAUUGGAUGGAAAGCUUUCCAUCACACUUGGAUUUCUUGGACUUUCUUAGGAUUGGGGGCGGGGUACAGGUGCUUGGGACUCACAGGCGCUGAAUCGAACCUGGACCAAGAAAACGAGGUCGGUGGAUGAGAUGGUUAUGGCAGACACCCAUGUGUCUGUCCUCUGGCCUACAGGUGACAGAGUGGUGGGAACCUGCUCUGAGGUGAGUGUCCCCACUCGGGAGUUGGUCUCAGUAGGAUUCCUGCAUCAGCUCUGCCAUGCGAUUCUCAGAUAUCAUCCUGGGGCCAAAAAAGAGAGCCUUGCCACCGUCUAGGGAGCUAUGUGUCUUUAGACAAUCACCUUGCCCUCUCUGAGCCUUGGUCUGCUUCUCUGCAGAUCAGUGGUUUCCGAGGUCUCCUCUCUCUUGGACAUUAAAUGCCGUGGCCACAUAAAUCAGUUAUCGCUCCUGUCCCAUCACCCCCCCCCACCCCCGUGCAACCUGCCCCUGCCCUUUGGUCAGCCCGGCUUGGAGAACAACACGAGGCACAGAGAAACUGCUCGGUCCCCCUCAGCAGACGGCUGCUUGGUUCUCAGACGUGAUGCUUGGUUCUCAGACGUGACCACGCUGGGUCUGGCACAUCUCUGAACUAUCUGAACGGGUUAGAAAGAAGGCAGCGGAGACAGUGGUGUUUUUCCCUUUCAGGAUCCCCUUCCUUUCCCUUCAGCUCCAUCCAGCUGCUGGUGCGCUGGGCCCCUGACCCUGAAGCCAAUUUCCCUCCCACUCCUGUGACUCAUACCUUUCAUCACGUCUCAGGAGAGGGGCGUCUGUCACUUCCUUCUCCUGAUGAGCGGGAGGGCCUUGGGCAGAAUCUGAGCUGUAACUCGGCUUGGCCAGGACCAGCCAUAAUCCUUGAGCAAUUAGCAGAGCUGGGAGGUCUGCUUCUAGAGCAGGUCCUGUGCGCAUCGGGGUGAAGGAAGUUUCCUGCUUUCUUAGACACGUCCCCUCCCUCCCCCAGCUUCCUGCUUAAAGCCUUAAGAAGAAAGGAAGCAUUCUUGCCUGUUUUUUCCUUCUAUCUCUUUGAGUCCUGAUUCUGGAGGACACUGAGGAUUAUUGGCUUUGGAGGGAAGAAUUCUGCGUUUUGUUUUUUGUUUUUUGUUUUUUGGGUUUUUUUGCUGGCAGCCUGCAGAUCUUGCCUCCCUCCACGGCUCUGACCCUUUCCCCAGGAGACUUUCAGAGAGGAUCUUUGCUGAAAACCCAACCAGAAUCCUGGCCCAUGUGUUUAGGAGGGGAAAGCUUCCUUUAUGUGUGCUUUUCAGUGUGUUCCUAUAAUGACAGCUUGAUGUUAUUAUGAUGAAGCCCAUGUGUUUGCUACCAAGGCGUUAGGAAAGACACCAUAGAAAGCCACACCAACACAAGGUUUUGGGAAGUCAAGGGAUAGGACCUGAUUUAAGAGUGAGGCAUGAUGGUAAGAACAAAAGAUAGAGCUCUUUAGCUGUGUACCCACACUCACAGAUUCUUGGGAUGUGAAGUGGAGGAGAGAAAAAACCUGAGGGCUGGUGGCAGACAGAGCCGGUGACUUAAAAUGCACAAAUACGGGGCCAAGGACCCAUUUGCAAGGAUUCUGGAAUCUAUAGAUUGCUGUGAUGCUGAGCUGUAUACCCCGCCCCGCCCCCACCCCCUCCCGCCAAACUCUGACUCAUUUCCAAGUGUUUAUACAGCUCACCGUGUACCAGCGAUUGUCUCAAGCACCCUACAUAUUUAACUCAUUUAAUUAAAUUUCCAUUGAGCUUUGCCUUUUCUAGAUUUAUGGAAUUUUCACCUGGAGACUUUUAGUGAAAUCUGGGAUCACUCCUCACCCAGAGGAGCUCCUGGCGUGGUGACAGAUGAUUCUAGAUUCCAGCCCAUGCUUUCCCUCUUAGCACCUGCAUCUCUGUGGCCUGGCCUGGCCAGUCCUGGGAAUGUUUAACCCUUCGUGGGCUCCACAGGACAAGAGCUAGCAAACAGGAAUGGGGGGAGGGAGGACUGCCCAGCCCGGAGAAUGGGGAAGCUGGUAGAGCUAGGAUGGGAGAAGGACCGAGAGCUGAAAGCAAGCUCAGAGCCAAGCUGCUGGCAACCAGCUGAGAUGAUUUUUGCUAAGAUGUACCAUCCCAGCAGAGGGAGGGAGAAGUGUUAAAAACAGUGAGAGGGUGAGACGGGCUUCUGAUUCAGUCACUCCUCCCCCUUAGCUCAUUUCGAGCGAGUUCAUCUCAUGACGGUGAGCAAGGAGGUUCUGAUGAGCUAAUAUUCCCAAGAACUCGGUAGGAGGGGUCACCUUUCUUGCCAGGGCCACAUCCUGCUCUUUGAAGGAUGGCUUUUGAAGAAGGACCAGAGCCAGGAUUGAUGCAAAGUAAACAGGCGACACGGUGGCUUUGCAUGGAUCUGGUGAUUCGGUCCAUCUCAAAGCCUCCUCUCUGUCCUUCCUCCCGAACUGAGCACCAGCCACCUCUUUGGGGUGCUGACUGUAGGGAGGUGAUGGUGACAGCCCUGAUAGGUUGACAUUCUUCCCAGGGGCCCUUUGUGGGUGUAGUGGUCAAAGGAAUUCUUCCACCUGAGUGAGGGCAUGUGUCGAGACCUGGGGCUGAGGAGCCCAGAACUCAAGGUGAAGGCAAAUCAGAGGAAGCCUAUUAAGAAGAGUCAGAGAUUGGAGUUCCCAUAGUGGUGCAGUGGAAACAAAUCCGACUAGGAACCAUGAGUGUGGGUUUGAUCCCUGGCCUCGCUCAGAGGGUUAAGAUCCAGUGUUGCCAUGACCUGUGGUGUGGGUCACAGACGCGGCUGGGAUCUGGCGUUGCUGUGGCUGUGGCAUAGGCUGGCAUCUGUAGCUUGGAUUAGACUCCUAGCCUGGGAAGCUCCAUAUGCUGCAGGUUUGGCCCUCAAA
rnacentral:lncRNA from 1 species